UACUUAACCUAGCGGCGGACGGGUGAGUAAUGCUUAGGAAUCUGCCUAUUAGUGGGGGGCAACAUCUCGAAAGGGAUGCUAAUACCGCAUACGUCCUACGGGAGAAAGCAGGGGACCUUCGGGCCUUGCGCUAAUAGAUGAGCCUAAGUCGGAUUAGCUAGUUGGUGGGGUAAAGGCCUACCAAGGCGACGAUCUGUAGCGGGUCUGAGAGGAUGAUCCGCCACACUGGGACUGAGACACGGCCCAGACUCCUACGGGAGGCAGCAGUGGGGAAUAUUGGACAAUGGGGGGAACCCUGAUCCAGCCAUGCCGCGUGUGUGAAGAAGGCCUUUUGGUUGUAAAGCACUUUAAGCGAGGAGGAGGCUACCGAGAUUAAUACUCUUGGAUAGUGGACGUUACUCGCAGAAUAAGCACCGGCUAACUCUGUGCCAGCAGCCGCGGUAAUACAGAGGGUGCAAGCGUUAAUCGGAUUUACUGGGCGUAAAGCGCGCGUAGGUGGCCAAUUAAGUCAAAUGUGAAAUCCCCGAGCUUAACUUGGGAAUUGCAUUCGAUACUGGUUGGCUAGAGUAUGGGAGAGGAUGGUAGAAUUCCAGGUGUAGCGGUGAAAUGCGUAGAGAUCUGGAGGAAUACCGAUGGCGAAAGCAGCCAUCUGGCCUAAUACUGACACUGAGUGCGAAAGCAUGGGGAGCAAACAGAUUAGAUACCCUGUAGUCCAUGCCGUAAACGAUGUCUACUAGCCGUUGGGGCCUUUGAGCUUUAGUGGCGCAGCUACGCGAUAGUAGACGCUGGGGGAGUACGGUC
rnacentral:rRNA from 1 species